rnacentral:rRNA from 2 species
GUGAUGGCGUGCCUUUUGUAGAAUGAACCGGCGAGUUACGAUUUGAUGCAAGGUUAAGCAGUAAAUGUGGAGCCGUAGCGAAAGCGAGUCUGAAUAGGGCGUUUAGUAUUUGGUCGUAGACCCGAAACCAGGUGAUCUACCCUUGGUCAGGUUGAAGUUCAGGUAACACUGAAUGGAGGACCGAACCGACUUACGUUGAAAAGUGAGCGGAUGAACUGAGGGUAGCGGAGAAAUUCCAAUCGAACCUGGAGAUAGCUGGUUCUCUCCGAAAUAGCUUUAGGGCUAGCCUCAAGUGAUGAUUAUUGGAGGUAGAGCACUGUUUGGACGAGGGGCCCCUCUCGGGUUACCGAAUUCAGACAAACUCCGAAUGCCAAUUAAUUUAACUUGGGAGUCAGAACAUGGGUGAUAAGGUCC